rnacentral:rRNA from 1 species
CCUACGGGUGGCAGCAGUGAGGAAUAUUGGUCAAUGGUCGGGAGACUGAACCAGCCAAGCCGCGUGAGGGAUGAAGGUACAGCGUAUCGUAAACCUCUUUUGUCAGGGAACAGAGUCGGGGACGUGUCCCCGGAUGAGUGUACCUGAAGAAAAAGCAUCGGCUAACUCCGUGCCAGCUGCCGCGGUAAUACGGAGGAUGCGAGCGUUAUCCGGAUUUAUUGGGUUUAAAGGGUGCGCAGGCGGUCUGUUCAGUCCGCGGUAAAAGCCCGGGGCUCACCCCCGGCCCGCCGUUGAAACUGGCAGUCUCGAGUUGGAGAGAAGUAUGCGGAAUGCGCGGUGUAGCGGUGAAAUGCAUAGAUAUCGCGCAGAACUCCGAUUGCGAAGGCAGCAUGCCGGAUCCACACUGACGCUGAGGCACGAAAGCGUGGGUAUCGAACAGGAUUAGAUACCCGGGUAGUC